UUAAAAGUAAUGAUUGAGAAGGAGUAGGAAUAAAGUGACCUGACAGAGAGUUCCCGGAAGGUGAGAGGGGCGUGGAAGCAUAUUCCGAAUACAUCUUAUGAACUGCACACCAAAAGGAUUUGAUCCGAGUAGGCUGAUGCCGGAAGCUUGCACCCGUUAUAGUGCUAGAGUAUAUACCUUGUUUUUAUUUGGCCGCAUUAUUCCGCUGUUUAUUGAAUUGUGCUGCUGGCACAGGCAUUGUACUUGAAAAGGUUUGUGCCGUGAGGCACUAAUAAAUUGAGGUGGUAACACGGAGUAACAGCUCUCGUCCUCUGA
rnacentral:ncRNA from 1 species